GACGAACGCUGGCGGCGUGCUUAAUACAUGCAAGUCAACUGAAUUAUCGGUAGCAAUACUGGUAAGGAGGUGGCGCACGGGUGCGUAACGCGUAGGUAAUCUGCCCUUGGGUCUGACAUAACCCGCCGAAAGGCGAGCUAAUAUCAGAUGAUGCAGCGGCUUGACAUCAAGACAGUUGUUAAAGCUUGAGCAAUCAAUGCGCCCAUGGANGAGCCUGCGUCUGAUUAGGUAGUUGGCGGAGUAAAAGACCCACCAAGCCCACGAUCAGUAGCUGGUCUGAGAGGAUGAUCAGCCACACU
rnacentral:rRNA from 1 species